GUGAAAAUACCAGGUAAUAAAAUACUGUCUAGUGUCUGUGUACAUAUCUGUGUCUGACACAAGGAAACUUUUUUGACAAGUUGUCUGUAUUCUUAAAUACUUAAAAAAUGAUCUUUUUCUAAACAGCCCUCAUCACUCCGCAGUCUGCCCCCCAGCCCACUGAUAGCAACCAUCAUAAUGCCCCACCCAGCUUCCGGCACCUUUCGCCACUCCGGCACAAACCGACACAGCUUUGCGAUCUCCCCAGCAUGCAGAGUCUGAUGUCUUCCCUAUAGAUGAUUCCAGAGACUCUGUGAAGCCACUAUUACAAGGUGAGACGCUUUGCGUUGAUUGGUGCUGCUGGACCACACUGGAGGUGCGAGUCCGCCGUGUAAUGGUUUAUGCCAUUACAAAGGAGCUGGCCUCUGUACUCAACUGGACAGGGGAAAAAAAAACAAG